rnacentral:rRNA from 1 species
AUACGGAGGAUCCGAGCGUUAUCCGGAUUUAUUGGGUUUAAAGGGAGCGUAGGUGGAUUGUUAAGUCAGUUGUGAAAGUUUGCGGCUCAACCGUAAAAUUGCAGUUGAAACUGGCAGUCUUGAGUACAGUAGAGGUGGGCGGAAUUCGUGGUGUAGCGGUGAAAUGCAUAGAUAUGACGAAGAACACCGAUUGCGUAGGCAGCUGACCAGACCGCAAAUGACGCUCAUGCACGAAAGUGCGGGGAUCGAACAGGAUUAGAUACCCUGGUAGUCCGCACAGUAAACGAUGAAUACUUGUUUUCGGCGAUAUAAUGUCGGAGGCAAAGCGAAAGCGAUAAGUAUUCCACCUGGGGAGUACGCCGGCAACGGUGAAACUCAAAGGAAUUGGCGGGG